rnacentral:rRNA from 1 species
AUUGAACGCUGGCGGCAGGCCUAACACAUGCAAGUCGAACGAGUGGCGGACGGGUGCGUGAUGUCUGGGAAACUGCACGAUGGCGAGGGCUAACUCCUGGAUACUGUAACUAAUACCUCAUACCAUCGGUUGUGCCCUGGUUGGAUUAGCUAGUUGGUGGGGUAACGGCUCACCUAGGCGACGAUCCCUAGCUGAUCUGAGAGUCUGAACGGCCACACUGGGACUUAGACACGGACCAGACUCCUACGGGAGGCAGCAGGAGGGAAUAUUGCACAAGGGGCGCAAGCCUGAUGCAGCCAUGCCGCGUGUAUGAAGAAGGUUUUCGGGUUGUAAAGUACUUUGAGAAGGAAGGCGUUACUCGAAGAGAAAGCGCCGGCUAACUACGUGCCAGCAGCCGCGGUAAUUC